CCGAACGCGAAGGUCCAGCCAGUGCCGCCGUUAACGGCAGGACUGAGCUAGCGCCAGCUAUAAAAACACAGUGGCCAAAAACAGACAACUGACUUCGCCAUGGCCUCAAACGCUGACGUUAACAACUCUCCGUUAGCCAGAUUACUGUUCGUUAACACCGACCAGCCGAACACAUGAAGACGACGCCAGUGGAAGCACCUGCUUGUGUUGUUGACCGUUUAACCUCCAGCCAUGCUGCCUGCUCCUGACAAAUUGACUGCGCUUACAGCUGGUUUACAACCUCGAUUUGGCCGUAACGUUAACGGCUGGCUGUCUUUCAGUACCCUAACAUUGUGUAAGAGUUACGUUACCGUUUUCUCCGCUUUCUUAUAGGACUUUUAAUUUGCUGCUUCACGCUAGCUUCACCGCGGUGUGUAACGAUCAUAAUAAUUUCAAAUACCAGCACAUUUAAGUUAACUAACGUAUCUGUGUCAAAGCUGAACGUAUAAGCAUUGUUAAGCUGUCUGGACUCUUAACGAUAUAGAAAUAAGAAUACCCUACACUUCCGGCUGCAAUCUUCAGAAUAAAAGCAUAAUCUCUACGUGCCUACGCCACUCAGGGACACAGUAAAGGGAGCGUCGAUAGCCCACAGGUUGAUUAUCGCACAUUCGCAUGUUGUUUUCCCAGAUAGAAACUCCAGCACACUCGUGCAAAGAUAAUCUUGCUAUGCUGCAUAAUGUAAUUCACUCAAUGAUUUCUUCAAAAUAGGCGUCUGUCCAGUGCUGGAUUGGAAAGCACCUCUUCGAAUUGAAGCACGCAUUAGUUUUAGUCUUCUAGCCUAGAGCAAGCUGAAACAGCAGCCAUGCAUUGAAAAAAACGAGAAAAGUAAUGAUAAAAAAUACAGUGACCUUUUGAGAGUCUGAACUCAUGACUUGACAACAAAGCUCUAGCUUGCUUAAAUAAAAUUCCACAUCACUUACUUCACACACGACCUCACCCCAGCCUCUUAAAAGUUUUAUGACCAAACACUUUGCUCUCAUUGGUGCUCCUGUGAAAAAGCAGUUUGACUUGGAGCCACAUCAGGACACUUAAGGUUGUUUGUGUAUGGCCCCCAGCCCAGAUACAUCUGACAAAGCAGUUUGUCGUCUGUGGCUUCCUGUAUGAGGGUGACCUCACAGGCCUGUCUGAAGAGACCCUCGGUGCCCAUCGGACCCAUGGCGUGGACCAUAUUCUGGGUCAGACGGAAGGGAACCACCUCAGGCACAUCAAAUGUCUCCCCCUAGUGAAUAGGGAAAGAAGGAGAACAAGAGAAAUCCGGCGAAAAGGGAGACGUGAAACACAAUUUGAGACAAACACAAACCUUGUUGAAGAGGCAGUUGAAGUCGACAUGAACACAUUCCCCAGUGAAAGAGUCAAAGAGGAUGUUUUCUCCGUGACGAUCUCCCAGACCCAGGAUGUAGCCCACCAUGGACAUCACAGCAGUGGAGCGGCAGUACGCAGAGCGACUGCUGUACCUCAAUCCAGGUAUGCCCAGUGUCCAGGGAAGGCGUCAUGCUGUGUGUUUGCCCCGCCAGUAGAGGGCAGCGUAGGGAUGAGGACCGACUGCAGUGGGAUCAGGAUCUGGCUGAAGGUCGGCUCUUCCACCAGGCGUUUUAGCUGCUUGAAAUGAACGCUCAUACUGAGCGUGGUGCUGUUACCAUCCACCUGAAAGACACAUUCAAUCAAACAUGUAUCUGAUGCUGCCUUUAUUUAUUUUCUUUUUAUGUGUCCCUCUUUUACUGGCUACUGCAAGCACCUGAAGGGGAUCAAUAAAUGUUUUGAUCUGAUCUAAUCAUGCCUACCAAUAAAAUGUGGUGGUCCAGAUUCACUAUUAAAGGGUUUCAAGAUUUUAUAGGGAGCUUUUGAAUUACGUGGACAACUAUAUUUUAUGUUGUGGCUCCACACUUCAUUGAAACUAAUU